rnacentral:rRNA from 1 species
UCGGCCUCCUCUCCACCAUGUCCCGCUGUGCCCAAGCGCUGCCAUUGCUGCUGCAAUUGCGUCGUGAUACCCAUCAUCAUAGUCACCGUGAUGCUCAUCGCUGCCUACGCCGUCGUCCUCCCGCUCCGCAUCACGGCGGAGGACACGUCCCUGGGCCGCCUCGCCCUCGCCAGGCCCAACGGCACCGCGCUGGCGUACAACCUCUCCCUCACCGUCGGCUUCUUCAACCCCAACUGGGCCAUGCGCGCCGAGCUCACCGCACCGCUGGAGUCCGAGCUCAGCUUCGCCGGUGUGCGCUUCGACGGCGCCCGCCUGUCCGACGCGGGCCGGAGGAUCGAGAUCCACGAGACUACCAGGUUCCGCGUGGAGGCGGGGGCUGAGGGCGCGGAUGCGGUGCUUGGGAGCGCCGAGCUGGCGGAGUUCGUGAAGGAGAGUGCGGCGGGCUAG